UACAACACGCGAUCGAGUGCACAAGUAUUUCGAGCACACCAAUUAAGAUCCUUAGAAUUCUCCAUGGAUGUGGCUCAGACACUUCACGAUGCCAGCAAUGAUGGUAUUCCUGUGGCUUUCUCAGAUGUUUAGGCUUAGACACGGCAUCGUCCUUAGCU